CUAUUAUCCAAAAUAACGAGGAUGAACGCAAGCGACCGUCCGUCGGGGACCACUGAUCAGCUGUGCACUAAGCUCUCGUACCGCUGACGCCAUCUUGGUUACGACGAGACUCAACCAAAUCACAGUGAAAAAGGCGCAGUUGAAAUUCGUCGAACCUGAUGACACCGCUGCUAUGAAUUUUCCGAGUCACGCGUAGAUCCCAUGAAAAUGUUAGUUACUGAAAACCGAGUUAAUCGUUUUUUCCAGUCAAUUUUGUAAUACUGUGUUCGUAAAAAAAUGGCAUAAAAAUGGAAAUUUAAGGCGGUAAGUUGGAAAAAACAGCACGAUAGAAGCGAAAUAUUCAUAUUUUCAAAUGCAAACCACGAUAUAACGACGCAACGAGAAUUUCUGCGACAAGCAGAAUAAAAUAUACGCGCCGGGAAUACGAUAGGGAUUAUAAUUUAUUGUAAACACUGGUAUAUUUGAUUUCUCUUUUUUACGAGUAUAAACCAAAAUGUAUCAAUAAUAAUACAAUAAUAAUAAAUUCAUUAAUCAAUAAUAUUAAUAAUACAGGAAUAGCGGUAGAUCCUCUAAUUUUUUGUUUUUUGUUUUCUUCAAUCGUAGUAAAUAUAUAAACAAAUAUAAAUACGUACGAAUUAAUAUGAAAUUUAUAAAGGUUUGCAACACUUUGCUUAUAUUGCGCAGGCCGUCGAUUAAGUGUGAAGCAUAUUUUGCUGAAAAUGAGACCCUCACAUCCGACAAAAGAAAUGUUUGAUAAGCAAGUGGUUAGACGGUGAGGCGGAUGUUGGUCUUCGAAUUUGGCACAAAAAUAUGGGAAUCUGAUGGCCGAACAUCCGUCUCAUCGAGGCCACGUUAUGGUUUCGCUAGUUCUAUCCAAUUUUUGAUCCGCUUUCGUUUCGAAUUCUGCUUAAAUUUCUUGUCAAUUCUUAUCGUACAAACUUAACGAUGAAACAACGAUGAGUUUACGUAGCAUCAAGUACAAGGACGAAUUAAUUGGAGACGUAAAAAGCAAAUUGUCUCGAAAAUCGUUUAAAAAAUGGCGCACGUGAACCGAGGCAUUAAGAGGGUUCGCGACGAUUCGAAGACGACGAAUUUCCCCUGAUGACGGGACGACGGUCGACAAGGUCGUUGUAUAAACAAUCGUGUCUGUGAGGUUUGAGAAAAGAAGAAAAUGAGAAUAAACAAGCCUUUCAUUCGUGAUUGAAAAGUGAGAAGAAAGUGAGAACGCGAGAGAGAGAGAAAAACCAACUAGAACGUCUCGCGAACUCGGGCACAUUUGAAAAGCGUCGUAGAAAAUUUAUUUACUGCCUUCGUUACGUCAGCACGUUUCGUUUUGUUUUUGAAUUUUUUUUUAUUUUUUUCAAGCGUAACACUCGAAUGUAAAU